rnacentral:tRNA from 1 species
GGUGAGGUGUCCGAGUGGGUUAUGGAGCACGCCUGGAAAGCGUGUAUAUGUAAAAAACAUAUCAAGGGUUCAAAUCCCUUCCUCACCU